UACGGGGGGAGCAAGCGUUGUUCGGAUUUACUGGGCGUAAAGGGCGCGUAGGCGGCCAUCGCAAGUCAAUUGUGAAAUCCCCGGGCUUAACCUGGGAAUGGCAUUUGGGACUGCAAGGCUGGAGUGUGGCAGAGGAGACUGGAAUUCCUGGUGUAGCAGUGAAAUGCGUAGAUAUCAGGAGGAAUACCGAUGGCGAAGGCAGGUCUCUGGGCUGACACUGACGCUCAUGCACGAAAGCGUGGGGAGCAAACAGG
rnacentral:rRNA from 1 species